AAAGAGUUCGCUCAAAAGUUGGCUCAAGCCACCACUUUACAGUAGAUUUUCAGCAUAGUUCGCUUGAGGCAACUUGAGUUAGCUUGAGCGGACUGAAGGCGGUCUUAACUACUUCAGCAUGAAGAAAGGUUCGCUCGAGCCAACUUAGCUUGGCUUGAGCCAACUAAGGUCGGCCAGAAACUCUAUAAAAGGACAGACCACGAAAUUUUCAAUAUCUCUUCCAUUUUUUCCUCCCUAAAACAUUCAUAGGAGGCUGGGCUUCAUGGGGGAAGGGUCCCUGGGUCUAGGAUUGACAGAUUGAAGCUCCGGAGCGUGGCGACGACCGCCGAAGGACCGUGACAACCUCUCGGAGGCGAUGGAAAGCUUGGGAAAGCUUCGAUCGCCGUAGAUCCUUCGCCGUUCUUCUGGGUUUCAUCUCUUCUUCCUUAUCCCUUGUACAUGUUGUUUCUAUUUUUGUAUUUAGGAUGUUAUAACUUGAUGCUUUGACUGUUGUAAGCUCUUUUCAUGAAUGUAAAUGAUAAUAUUUCAUGUAUGAUGUUUCUUUCUAUGCUUCAUGCUUCUAACCAAUCAAUUGAUAGUCAAAUGAGCUUCACUAAUUUGUAAAUAGAUCGAGAGGUUGAUAUGAGUUGGUGAAUGCUUAGAUAAAUGAAAGUAGAGCGCCUAUGUCUUAGGUCACAACACUGUGUUAAAGUUUUACUUUCUUCGCUUCAAGUAUCGAUUGAUUUGCGUUUGAUUUCCAAGGACUAGCAUAAGAUCGGGAGAUAAUUGCGGGUCCGGUUCAAGAGAGAAACCACUCAAUGGACUAGUUGUCUUAAGGUUAGAAUAUCUUGGGUAGGAACGAUAGUGGACUUCCACGUGACAGGUGUGUUUCUGAGUUCUAGCAGGAGUUUCCGGAGUGACAACGGAGAUUCGACAACCUAGGGUACCUUGUCUUAGGAUGAAUCAGUCAUUGGGAAUGUCUUUGAGAGAGGAUUUGAGCUUUAGUGUUCUUUUUGGGUUUUCUAGAUGGUAAGAGAUUACGUCUAGGAAUUCCAACUGAUAGAUUCACCUAGACUAGGGAUAGUUAGGUGGAUCACUCUCGGCAAUCAUAAGUGAAAUGUACCUUUACAGAAGUGAUUGAGUGGAAACAAUUAGAGGAUUAAGGGAAUGCAUUCUAAAUAUGUUUUCUUCUUUGUUGUCCCUGUAAACAUUCUUUUACCGCUUUCCUUAUAUUAAAAACCACAAAAACAGUUUUAUCAAACAUAUUUUCAUCUGCUCAAAUCAAUAUUUAACUGGUGGAACUGAUGUUCACACAAUCCCUGAGGACGAUAAACCCGUAUCUGCUUUACUAUGAUUGAAUCAUAAAGGUUUAGCCAAAAGCAGUACAAACAACAAGGAAAAAUCCUUUAUCAAAUUUGGCGCCGUUGCCGGGGAUUGUGUUUGAAAUGUUGGUGAAACUAGUGGAAUGUUGAUUUGAGUUGUAAGAAAUGUAAAUAAUGUACAUAUUCAAUGUUUUGUUCUUAUGUGUCAAUUUCACUGAUUUGUUCUCGUUCUUAAUGCUAGUUGUAGCCUGAUCACCUAUAACAUGAUUUGAGAUUUGAAAUUCUUUGAAUCUGACCUAGAAUGAAUCAGCUAGUGAAUCUAAUCUCGAUUAGGUCAUUAGUCAUGAAAUGAUGAUUUUGAUACAUAGGUUUGUUUUGUAUAUGUGAAUUGUACAUAUUUGUUGUUUUCUUAUUCUUGUUUUCCUGUUUUUGUUUUUAAAUUCCCUAAGGAUUCCUCACUUUUGGUUCUUGAGUGAUCUUUUGCAAGUUUACAUGAUGAAUAUCCUCUUUUGAGUUAUUUGAAUCACAAUAGAACCAUAAGUUUUGGAAACCAUGAGUUUUUGAUGUAUUUUUAGAACUAGGAUAGUGAUUUUGUGAAGUUAUGCCAAAACUUGAGUUUUUAUGAGCUUCACAAAUUUUAUCCAGCAUAUGAAGAUUGUUCAAUGAGUUUGGAUACAACAAAUGUGAUCAAAUCAAAUUUUGGGGGUGUGACUUGUUGAAUUUGUAUGUGGGAUGGAAUGUGAAUUGGAUUAUGUGCUUUUGAUUCUAACAAUCUGCAAUUGAGACUUGACACAGGUCCAAAAUAGUGUUUUUCAUGCAUAGGGAGGAAUGGAAAGCAAGGAUGGUAAAUAUUGCAAAAUUUGAGGUAUAAGGUUGUGUUAAAAUGGAAGAAAGUCAUGCCUUUAAGUGAAUUUUCUGAACAAUUAUGCAGGUUGCUCUCCAAGACCUUUGAAUUUUCUCAUGUUCAAUGUUAGUUUAGUAUAUUUAUGCAUUGUGUUUUGUGUAUUGUUGUUUUGGUUUGUUAAAUUUCAAGCUUGGUUUGAUUUUAGCACUUUGCAGCUCUUGAGGUUUCAGUUUUUAGUUUUAUGAACUGAGUUUUUGAUCUUGUGGAUUCAAUGUCUAAAUGCUAGAUUUUAAGAUUUCCACAAGUUUUCCUUGAUGAUUAUAUCAUGUUCAAUCAAGUUUGGGGUAAAUUUUUAGCAUGGAUUGGUUUUUGGGGUAUGGAGUUGUGAAAUACCUGAGAAAUUCCCUGGAAUCCUGUCAAAUCUGCAUAAUUCUCUUGUAGUUCGCUCAAGCCAACAUACAGUUCGCUCAAGCGAACACUUAUCAACCCUUAGGCGAACUUGACUUCAUGAUUCUGGAAAAACAUGGCUUGAGCAAACUCUAAGCCAACACAACUUUGUUCAAGUGACUACAACUUUGCUCAAGCCAAGUACUUGCCCAGAAAAUGCAUCUUCCACUGGAAAAGGUUCAUGAUGAUAUUUACAUUUAGCUUGAGGACAGUCCAUAUCUCUUGGAGGGGAUGAGAGCUUUGAUGAGCAACCUUGGACUAAAUGCAAAGCAUCAUGAGGGAGUACUUUUUGUCCUUCUUUCUUUUGUUUUUAAUAUCUUAUUAGCAUUUUGGUAUAUAUAUUAAUUAACACUUUAUGUAGAUUUCAUCGAUAGCUGACUGGUUUUAACUGGCAUGGUUAAUGAAACAUCAAUAUAAUUGCAUGAUAUGCUUUUAAAUGCAAUUUGAAUUGUUUGAUUCCUUGAUUUAAUUGGUGUUUGCACUCAGAGAUAGCAUGACUUGAUAUGAUUGUAUGAUUCACAUGAAAUUCAUAGGCAUAACAUGAAAUUUUUUGAAAAUCAGGGAAUGCUUUGAAUCCAAACCAAUAUGAGGGAGUGUUCCUAAACACUUGUGAGCUGAGAGAUUCCUCAUUGUGUUGCAUGAUUGGUUUUGUUUGAGUCUCUGAUUAUCAUUGUUGUAUGCAAUUUCUUGGAAAUGAUCAAGGCAUAUUUUGUUCGGUAUAUACAGCCACUUAGCCAUAUAACCUACCAUUUACAUUUUAAUUCCAUUGUUAGCCCUUUUGAGCCUGGAAAAUAAUAUUUUUGUGAUUUGUUCGUGUUUAUAACCUUGAGCCUUAAAAGAAAAACAAUGAUCUGACCAAAGCUGAAUGGGUUAAGAGAGUAUCUGUUCAUAAUAUGGUUGUAUUCAAGUUGGGGGGAGAAGGCUAGUUGUGCUAUUUUUGUGUGGUUUGUGUAUCAAUCUAUUUGUACAUACUUGAAAGUGAAAAUCUAUAAACUAUAUAAAGGGAGAGUUUUUAUAGCCUUGGGGGUAAAUCUGUCAAUCAACAAAUAAUUUCAAAGACUAUGAAGCUUGACCAUGGAUAUUUUGGUAAAGAUGCAUUUUAUUUCACUUGGAUUGAAUCUCAGCCGUCCAUUUCAUAACAAUCUCAUUGUCUUUCUACAUUCUCAAAUGCAUUCACUAAACUUAAUUGUCAAAAUCAAUGCAUUCAUUUAUAUGGGGUCCUAAAUACCUUUGAAGAAACCUUUAAUAUUCUUCAGUUUUUUUAAACAUUUCAUCUUCUUCAAAGCUUAAACUACAUGUAUAAAUAGCCCUUUGCUCCAUACAUUUUUUUGCCAGUUUUCUUACCUUUAUCUUUGCUUUUUAUUUGGUUUAUAGUAGAUUCGGACAUAUGCGUUUCAAGCUUGAUCAAACUCUCAAAUGGCGAAUGACUUUUCAUUGUACUUUUUUGCUUUUUCCUUCUAUUAUAUCAUUUCUUUGUCUUUUGCCAAUUUUUUAAAAAGUGAGUGUGUCUGUCAACGUUUGAGCUUCUAAUUUAGAAUAUCAUAAUUUGGUUUUUGUUAAUUUCAGGUUCAAACUGUGCGAGUGGAGAAGAUGAUAGAUUAGAUUGUUAUGAGGGGAACAAGUAAAAGGAUGAUGGCAUGGUGAAGAUUUGAAAGAUUUAAUCUUGAUUGUCCAAAGUUUUAUGUAAUGUUUCAGGAAUGGCCAAAAGGUUCAUUAGAGGAGACUGUGCAAAACGCCAUAAAAUCAUGGGAGAUGGAGCUUUCACACAAAACCCGCUUGAAGAUUUUAGAACCAUAAAUCCUGAAAAGUUCAAGCUCUUUGUUAAUGGAAAUUAAUUAACCACAUGUUGUCUCAGAUUAUUUGAUUUUUUUUCAUGAGUUAAUUGAGUACAUUUUCGUCGGACUAAUUUGAUUGUCCUCUAUGUUCACAUGAUUUUGGAUGUCAUAGGAUCAAAGUUUCAGAACUCUUUGAGGUUCUGGUUUAUCCAAAAAGAGAUCACAAAAGACAAAGAGAACCUCCUCAAUUUUUAAUUUCUUUAUGCAUAAGAGUACAACUCCUUAAUAUUUUAAUUUCUUUAAUUCAGAGUUGGAGGUUGAUAUUUGUUUACAUAACCUCUUCUAAAUAAAAUCAAAUAAGCUUUUCUAAACGGAGCUUUAAUCUACUUUCUGCAAUUUUACCUUCUUGCACUUUUUUGAUAGACAUAGAACAAUACAAAUUCAACUUGCUGCCAUCUUCGAGCAAGCUAAACAUUUUCAUAAUAGGAAAGAUCUGCAGCUUAAAGAUCUGCAAACGGUGAAGGGCAAGAUCGUUUUCUCCAACUGUGGUAAGAACCAUUCUUCUAAUUUUUUUUUACCAUUUGUUUUGUGGAAAACAAAGCGAGAGGGAAGAAAUCCACAAAGAGCAAGAUCGUUCUCUCCAACUGUGGAGUGGGAAAGGGAAAGGUCUAAGCCAGGUGGUACGACUCCCAUUGAAGAGGACAAAGAGGGGGGAAGAGAAAGAAGUGGAAGAAGAAAAGGAUGAUUCUGAGAAGCAGGACAAAAAUAGUAUGCUAUAAACAUUAUGUUAUUGCAUCAGAAAGUUUGAGCUUUCUUGGUUUGUCUAGGCACCAUUACAAUGUAUCAAACAUAUUCAAUAUUAAUUGAUUUAUUCAUGGUGAAUUGACAAAGAUACAACUUUAUUA